rnacentral:rRNA from 1 species
AGAGUUUGAUCAUGGCUCAGAUUGAACGCUGGCGGCGGGCCUAACACAUGCAAGUCGAACGGUAACAGGAAGCAGCUUGCUGCUUCGCUGACGAGUGGCGGACGGGUGAGUAAUGUCUGGGAAGCUGCCUGAUGGAGGGGGAUAACUACUGGAAACGGUAGCUAAUACCGCAUAAUGUCGCAAGACCAAAGAGGGGGACCUUCGGGCCUCUUGCCAUCGGAUGUGCCCAGAUGGGAUUAGCUUGUUGGUGGGGUAACGGCUCACCAAGGCGACGAUCCCUAGCUGGUCUGAGAGGAUGACCAGCCACACUGGAACUGAGACACGGUCCAGACUCCUACGGGAGGCAGCAGUGGGGAAUAUUGCACAAUGGGCGCAAGCCUGAUGCAGCCAUGCCGCGUGUAUGAAGAAGGCCUUCGGGUUGUAAAGUACUUUCAGCGGGGAGGAAGGGAGUAAAGUUAAUACCUUUGCUCAUUGACGUUACCCGCAGAAGAAGCACCGGCUAACUCCGUGCCAGCAGCCGCGGUAAUACGGAGGGUGCAAGCGUUAAUCGGAAUUACUGGGCGUAAAGCGCACGCAGGCGGUUUGUUAAGUCAGAUGUGAAAUCCCCGGGCUCAACCUGGGAACUGCAUCUGAUACUGGCAAGCUUGAGUCUCGUAGAGGGGGGUAGAAUUCCAGGUGUAGCGGUGAAAUGCGUAGAGAUCUGGAGGAAUACCGGUGGCGAAGGCGGCCCCCUGGACGAAGACUGACGCUCAGGUGCGAAAGCGUGGGGAGCAAACAGGAUUAGAUACCCUGGUAGUCCACGCCGUAAACGAUGUCGACUUGGAGGUUGUGCCCUUGAGGCGUGGCUUCCGGAGCUAACGCGUUAAGUCGACCGCCUGGGGAGUACGGCCGCAAGGAUAAAACUCAAAUGAAUUGACGGGGGCCCGCACAAGCGGUGGAGCAUGUGGUUUAAUUCGAUGCAACGCGAAGAACCUUACCUGGUCUUGACAUCCACGGAAGUUUUCAGAGAUGAGAAUGUGCCUUCGGGAACCGUGAGACAGGUGCUGCAUGGCUGUCGUCAGCUCGUGUUGUGAAAUGUUGGGUUAAGUCCCGCAACGAGCGCAACCCUUAUCCUUUGUUGCCAGCGGUCCGGCCGGGAACUCAAAGGAGACUGCCAGUGAUAAACUGGAGGAAGGUGGGGAUGACGUCAAGUCAUCAUGGCCCUUACGACCAGGGCUACACACGUGCUACAAUGGCGCAUACAAAGAGAAGCGACCUCGCGAGAGCAAGCGGACCUCAUAAAGUGCGUCGUAGUCCGGAUUGGAGUCUGCAACUCGACUCCAUGAAGUCGGAAUCGCUAGUAAUCGUGGAUCAGAAUGCCACGGUGAAUACGUUCCCGGGCCUUGUACACACCGCCCGUCACACCAUGGGAGUGGGUUGCAAAAGAAGUAGGUGGCUUAACCUUCGGGAGGGCGUUUACCACUUUGUGAUUCAUGACUGGGGUGAAGUCGUAACAAGGUA